rnacentral:rRNA from 1 species
AUUGAACGCUGGCGGCAGGCUUAACACAUGCAAGUCGAACGGUAGCAGGAGAAAGCUUGCUUUCUUGCUGACGAGUGGCGGACGGGUGAGUAAUGCUUGGGAAUCUGGCUUAUGGAGGGGGAUAACUACUGGAAACGGUAGCUAAUACCGCGUAAUAUCGAGAGAUUAAAGACUGGGACCUACGGGCCAGUUGCCAUAAGAUGAGCCCAAGUGGGAUUAGGUAGUUGGUGGGGUAAAGGCCUACCAAGCCCGCGAUCUCUAGCUGGUCUGAGAGGAUGACCAGCCACACUGGAACUGGGACACGGUCCAGACUCCUACGGGAGGCAGCAGUGGGGAAUAUUGCACAAUGGGGGGAACCCUGAUGCAGCCAUGCCGCGUGAAUGAAGAAGGCCUUCGGGUUGUAAAGUUCUUUCGGUGGUGAGGAAGGUAUCAACUUUAAUAGAGUUGGUAAUUGACGUUAUCCACGGAAGAAGCACCGGCUAACUCCGUGCCAGCAGCCGCGGUAAUACGGAGGGUGCGAGCGUUAAUCGGAAUGACUGGGCGUAAAGGGCACGCAGGCGGAUUGUUAAGUGAGAUGUGAAAGCCCCGGGCUUAACCUGGGAAUUGCAUUUCAGACUGGCAAUCUAGAGUAUUUUAGGGAGGGGUAGAAUUCCACGUGUAGCGGUGAAAUGCGUAGAGAUGUGGAGGAAUACCGAAGGCGAAGGCAGCCCCUUGGGAAUAUACUGACGCUCAUGUGCGAAAGCGUGGGGAGCAAGCAGGAUUAGAUACCCUGGUAGUCCACGCUGUAAACGAUGUCGAUUUGGGGAUUGGGGUAUAACUCUGGUGCCCGAAGCUAACGUGAUAAAUCGACCGCCUGGGGAGUACGGCCGCAAGGUUAAAACUCAAAUGAAUUGACGGGGGCCCGCACAAGCGGUGGAGCAUGUGGUUUAAUUCGAUGCAACGCGAAGAACCUUACCUACUCCUGACAUCCAUGGAAGUUCGCAGAGAUGUGAAUGUGCCUUCGGGAACCAUGAGACAGGUGCUGCAUGGCUGUCGUCAGCUCGUGUUGUGAAAUGUUGGGUUAAGUCCCGCAACGAGCGCAACCCUUAUCCUUUGUUGCCAGCGAUUAGGUCGGGAACUCAAAGGAGACUGCCAGUGAUAAACUGGAGGAAGGUGGGGAUGACGUCAAGUCAUCAUGGCCCUUACAAGUAGGGCUACACACGUGCUACAAUGGUGCAUACAGAGGGAAGCAAUAUGGCGACAUGGAGCAAAUCUCACAAAGUGCAUCUAAGUCCGGAUUGGAGUCUGCAACUCGACUCCAUGAAGUCGGAAUCGCUAGUAAUCGCAAAUCAGAAUGUUGCGGUGAAUACGUUCCCGGGCCU